UGCUGGGGAUGUAGGUAGCUCAGUGGUAGAGCAUUCACCUAGCAAGUGCAAGGCCCUGGGUUUGAUUCCCAGCCCUGCAA